UCCGAAUUAGCUCAGUUGGUAGAGCACCUGACUGUUAAUCAGGUUGUCGCCGGUUCGAGCCCGGCAUUCGGAG
rfam:Weissella oryzae SG25 DNA, scaffold: sequence18.